rnacentral:rRNA from 1 species
CUGGGCGCAGCCUGAUCCAGCCAUGCCGCGUGCAGGAUGACGGUCCUAUGGAUUGUAAACUGCUUUUAUACAGGAAGAAACCCUGGUUCGUGAACCAGCUUGACGGUACUGUAAGAAUAAGGAUCGGCUAACUCCGUGCCAGCAGCCGCGGUAAUACGGAGGAUCCAAGCGUUAUCCGGAAUCAUUGGGUUUAAAGGGUCCGUAGGCGGUUUAGUAAGUCAGUGGUGAAAGCCCAUCGCUCAACGGUGGAACGGCCAUUGAUACUGCUAAACUUGAAUUAUUAGGAAGUAACUAGAAUAUGUAGUGUAGCGGUGAAAUGCUUAGAGAUUACAUGGAAUACCAAUUGCGAAGGCAGGUUACUACUAAUUGAUUGACGCUGAUGGACGAAAGCGUGGGUAGCGAACAGGAUUAGAUACCCUGGUAGUCCACGCCGUAAACGAUGGAUACUAGCUGUUGGGGGCAACUUCAGUGGCUAAGCGAAAGUGAUAAGUAUCCCACCUGGGGAGUACGUUCGCAAGAAUGAAACUCAAAGGAAUUGACGGGGGCCCGCACAAGCGGUGGAGCAUGUGGUUUAAUUCGAUGAUACGCGAGGAACCUUACCAAGGCUUAAAUGUAGUUUGACCGAUUUGGAAACAGAUUUUUCGCAAGACAAAUUACAAGGUGCUGCAUGGUUGUCGUCAGCUCGUGCCGUGAGGUGUCAGGUUAAGUCCUAUAACAAGCGCAACCCCUGUUGUUAGUUGCCAGCGAGUCAUGUC